rnacentral:rRNA from 1 species
AGCGAACGCUGGCGGCAUGCCUAACACAUGCAAGUCGCACGGGGGGGCUUCGGCCUCCCAGUGGCGGACGGGUGAGGAACGCGUAGGGACCUGUCGAGGGGUGGGGGAUAACCGCGGGAAACUGCGGCUAAUACCGCAUGACGCCGCGGCGUGACAGCCGGGGCCAAAGGCGAAAGCCGCCCGCCGAGGGGCCUGCGUCCGAUUAGCUGGUUGGCGGGGUAGCGGCCCACCAAGGCGUCGAUCGGUAGCUGGUCUGAGAGGGUGAUCAGCCACACCGGGACUGAGACACGGCCCGGACUCCUACGGGAGGCAGCAGUGGGGAAUAUUGGACAAUGGGCGCAAGCCUGAUCCAGCAAUGCCGCGUGGGUGAAGAAGGUCUUCGGAUUGUAAAGUCCUUUCGGCGGGGACGAUGGUGACGGUACCCGCAGAAGAAGCCCCGGCUAACUUCGUG